UGCUCCCUCUCUCACAUCCCUUGCAUGGUGGAGGGUGAGCUUUAUGAAAACCCCUCCCACAUGCAGGGUUUGCAGGAUGGUGAGCC
ensembl:miRNA